CCACAAUGAUUAGUGCUUUCUCAUGAUGAAAAUCAUGCUUCUCUUGUCGCACAAAAGAAAGCUCUUUUAUGGUAUGGCAUCCAAGAUGUUGGAUGAGGUCAAACCUCAUCUUGAUAAGGAAUCAAGUUCCAAUCAAAUUUGAACUUUCCUUUUCUAUCUUUGGCAUUGACAAAGGGAGGCAUCAUCUAUCUUUAGCAUGAAAUAUUUCACGCAAAAAACUAAGAGGCACGUGAAGAGAAAAGGGGUGGCCUUAUGGCAUGGC
rnacentral:lncRNA from 1 species